rnacentral:rRNA from 1 species
GACGAACGCUGGCGGCGUGCUUAACACAUGCAAGUCGAGCGGUAAGGCCCUUUCGGGGGUGCACGAGCGGCGAACGGGUGAGUAACACGUGGGUGACCUGCCCUCAGCUCUGGGAUAAGCCUGGGAAACCGGGUCUAAUACCGGAUAUGACUCCAUGACGCAUGUUGUGGGGUGGAAAGCCUUGUGCGGCUGAGGAUGGGCCCGCGGCCUAUCAGCUUGUUGGUGGGGAUGGCCUACCAAGGCGACGACGGGUAGCCGGCCUGAGAGGGCGACCGGCCACACUGGGACUGAGACACGGCCCAGACUCCUACGGGAGGCAGCAGUGGGGAAUCUUGCGCAAUGGGCGAAAGCCUGACGCAGCGACGCCGCGUGAGGGAUGACGGCCUGGU